rnacentral:rRNA from 1 species
GAUGAACGCUGGCGGCGUGUCUAAUACAUGCGAGUCGAGCGAACAGACGAGGAGCUUGCUCCUCUGACGUUAGCGGCGGACGGGUGAGUAACACGUGGAUAACCUACCUAUAAGACUGGGAUAACUUCGGGAAACCGGAGCUAAUACCGGAUAAUAUAUUGAACCGCAUGGUUCAAUAGUGAAAGACGGUUUUGCUGUCACUUAUAGAUGGAUCCGCGCCGCAUUAGCUAGUUGGUAAGGUAACGGCUUACCAAGGCAACGAUGCGUAGCCGACCUGAGAGGGUGAUCGGCCACACUGGAACUGAGACACGGUCCAGACUCCUACGGGAGGCAGCAGUAGGGAAUCUUCCGCAAUGGGCGAAAGCCUGACGGAGCAACGCCGCGUGAGUGAUGAAGGUCUUCGGAUCGUAAAACUCUGUUAUUAGGGAAGAACAAAUGUGUAAGUAACUAUGCACGUCUUGACGGUACCUAAUCAGAAAGCCACGGCUAACUACGUG